rnacentral:rRNA from 1 species
GUAAACAGUACGUGAAACCGCAUAGAGGUAAACGGGUGGCGUCAAGCUGCAAGCCCGAAGGAUUCAGUCAGUCAGGAUUUUGUAUGUGCCUGGCGCAUCUAUCAGUCGGAGUGAGAUUGAGUAGUCUGCCGGGUGACGGCAGGCCCAGCCGCAAGGUUGGGAUUUGUGUACCGGGAGGUAGCCGGAGCAAGCUAUUCGUCUAGAGGACUGCCUGGCUGAUGCACUUCCUUCGUACGGUGAACACCACGACCGGUGGUACUGCCAGUCUGCCAUGGCCAAGUCGUGUUGGGUCGGCAUCUAAUGUCGGCUCAGCAUUGAUCACAGGCAAAUUCAGUGAACGGUGUAAGAGUGUUUCCGCACUUUUGCACGUUAUCGGACACUGGUUGUUAGCGGGUGUGCCAGCCGAUUGCUGUAAUCGUCGGUUGUGACCUGGUGGGCUGUGGUGGUAUGAAUAACUGUGCAGGGCACUGGAGUUAUCGGUCUCUAGUCUGACUUGCAUACGCUUUACAGGCGGUUACGAAGGCAUUGUUGCAGCCUGCCGGUGUUUGGGUUAGACUGUCGUGUCACCUGCGUAAGCAGGUCCGGCAGUGGCCUGAGCUCGGUUGGAGUUGUUGACAGUGUUUUCUGUGUGAGUUGGCGUGGGCCUAACAGUCUGUGGUGUA